rnacentral:rRNA from 1 species
GAUGAACGCUGGCGGCGUGCCUAAUACAUGCAAGUCGAGCGAACAGACGAGGAGCUUGCUCCUCUGACGUUAGCGGCGGACGGGUGAGUAACACGUGGAUAACCUACCUAUAAGACUGGGAUAACUUCGGGAAACCGGAGCUAAUACCGGAUAAUAUAUUGAACCGCAUGGUUCAAUAGUGAAAGACGGUUUUGCUGUCACUUAUAGAUGGAUCCGCGCCGCAUUAGCUAGUUGGUAAGGUAACGGCUUACCAAGGCAACGAUGCGUAGCCGACCUGAGAGAGUGAUCGGCCACACUGGAACUGAGACACGGUCAAGACUCCUACGGGAGGCAGCAGUAGGGAAUCUUCCGCAAUGGUCGAAAGCCUGACGGAGCAACGCCGCGUGAGUGAUGAAGGUCUUCGGAUCGUAAAACUCUGUUAUUAGGGAAGAACAAAUGUGUAAGUAACUAUGCACGUCUUGACGGUACCUAAUCAGAAAGCCACGGCUAACUACGUG